UAUGUGCUCAUAGCUCUGUCCUGCUGAGACGGGGACAUUUUUCUGCUCGGGUGAAAAACCAAAGAUUGGAAAUUGAGGAGAGGCUGAGGUGAGGAAGGAAGAGAGAAGCCAGGCGCUGUGGAUGGGGUGGAGAAGGAAGCGGGUCGGUCUGGCUGGAGAUAGGGGAAGUCUUUCAGACACUUUUGAACAGGGCAAGAGAGAGAGAAGCAAAGAAGUUCUGGAACCAAACUAAACAGUCUAGAAGCCUGGAAGAGAAUGUCGAAUCCCUGAAUUUUUCAUCUGUCGCUGGACUGCUGAGUCACUGGUUUGUCACUAGGAGUUUCUUAAAUUCGUAUUCAACCCAGUUCCA